UCCCCAAUACCAAGCUCCACUUUUAAAUGGCCAACCUCAGUACCAACCUCCAGUCCCAAACAUCCAAUCCUAAUACCAAGCUCCACAGCUAAAUAUCUUUCCCCAAUACCAAGUUCCACCUCUUAAUUAUCAGUCUCAUGUCCAAUCCACGCUUUCAAACAACCGAACAAAUAUCCAAGCACCUCCAAAUUAUCAUCAAGUACCUCCUCCUGCAAAGCAAAUCCAUUAUAACCCCCACAUCCAAACUACGAAAAGAAACCUCCCUAAAACUUCACACCAU
rnacentral:lncRNA from 1 species